rnacentral:rRNA from 1 species
AGCCGUAAACCCAAGUAAUUAAUGAACAAAAUUACUCGCCAGAGCACUACAAGCAACAGCUUAAAACUCAAAGGACUUGGCGGUGCUUUAUAUCCCUCUAGAGGAGCCUGUUCUAUAAUCGAUAAACCCCGAUAAACCUCACCACUUCUUGCUAAUUCAACCUAUAUACCGCCAUCCUCAGCAAACCUUAUUAAGGCCUAGAAGUAAGCAAAAACACAGACAUAAAAACGUUAGGUCAAGGUGUAGUCUAUGGAGUGGAAAGAAAUGGGCUACAUUUUCUAAUACAAGAACAACUUCCCAACAGCAGCCUUUAUGAAAUUAAAAGCUAAAGGAGGAUUUAGCAGUAAAUUAAGAAUAGAGAGCUUAAUUGAAUAGGGCCAUGAAGC